AACGAACGCUGGCGGCAUGCCUAACACAUGCAAGUCGAACGAGACCUUCGGGUCUAGUGGCGCACGGGUGCGUAACGCGUGGGAACCUGCCCUUAGGUUCGGAAUAACUCCCCGAAAGGGGUGCUAAUACCGGAUAAUGUCUUCGGACCAAAGAUUUAUCGCCUUUGGAUGGGCCCGCGUUGGAUUAGCUAGUUGGUAGGGUAAAAGCCUACCAAGGCGACGAUCCAUAGCUGGUCUGAGAGGAUGAUCAGCCACACUGGGACUGAGACACGGCCCAGACUCCUACGGGAGGCAGCAGUGGGGAAUAAUGGACAAUGGGCGAAAGCCUGAUCCGGCAAUGCCGCGUGAGUGAUGAAGGCCUUAGGGUUAUAAAGCUCUUUUACCCGGGAUGAUAAUGAGAGUACCGGGAGAAUAAGCGCCGGCUAAGUCCGUG
rnacentral:rRNA from 1 species